GUGGGCGGAAUUCGUGGUGUAGCGGUGAAAUGCUUAGAUAUCACGAAGAACUCCGAUUGCGAAGGCAGCUCACUGGAGCGCAACUGACGCUGAAGCUCGAAAGUGCGGGUAUCGAACAGGAUUAGAUACCCUGGUAGUCCGCACGGUAAACGAUGGAUGCCCGCUGUUGGUCUGAAUAGGUCAGCGGCCAAGCGAAAGCAUUAAGCAUCCCACCUGGGGAGUACGCCGGCAACGGUGAAACUCAAAGGAAUUGACGGGGGCCCGCACAAGCGGAGGAACAUGUGGUUUAAUUCGAUGAUACGCGAGGAACCUUACCCGGGCUUGAAUUGCAGAUGAACGAUUUAGAGAUAAUGAGGUCCUUCGGGACAUCUGUGAAGGUGCUGCAUGGUUGUCGUCAGCUCGUGCCGUGAGGUGUCGGCUUAAGUGCCAUAACGAGCGCAACCCUUGUUGUCAGUUACUAACAGGUUCUGCUGAGGACUCUGACAAGACUGCCAUCGUAAGAUGUGAGGAAGGUGGGGAUGACGUCAAAUCAGCACGGCCCUUACGUCCGGGGCUACACACGUGUUACAAUGGGGGGUACAGAAGGCAGCUACACAGCGAUGUGAUGCCAAUCCCUAAAGCCCCUCUCAGUUCGGAUCGAAGUCUGCAACCCGACUUCGUGAAGCUGGAUUCGCUAGUAAUCGCGCAUCAGCCAUGGCGCGGUGAAUACGUUCCCGGGCCUUGUACACACCGCCCGUCAAGCCAUGAAAGCCGGGGGCGCCUAAAGUCCGUGACCGUAAGGAGCGGCCUAGGGCGAAACUGGUAAUUGGGGCUAAGUCGUAACAAGGUAGCCGUACCGGAAGGUGCGGCUG
rnacentral:rRNA from 1 species